UGGGGAAUUUUGCACAAUGGGGGAAACCCUGAUGCAGCGACGCCGCGUGAUUUAGAAGGCCUUCGGGUUGUAAAAAUCUUUUCUAUGGGAAGAAAAUGACAGUACCAUAGGAAUAAGGACCGGCUAAUUACGUGCCAGCAGCCGCGGUAAUACGUAAGGUCCGAGCGUUGUCCGGAAUCAUUGGGCGUAAAGGGUACGUAGGCGGGUAAGCAAGUUAGAAGUGAAAUCCUGUAGCUCAACUACAGUAAGCUUUUAAAACUGCUCAUCUUGAGAUAUGGAAGGGAAAGUGGAAUUCCUAGUGUAGCGGUGAAAUGCGCAGAUAUUAGGAGGAAUACCGGUGGCGAAGGCGACUUUCUGGCCAUAAUCUGACGCUGAGGUACGAAAGCGUGGGUGGCAAACAGG
rnacentral:rRNA from 1 species